rnacentral:ncRNA from 1 species
AUCAUUAAGACCAAGGUAUUUUUAAUAAAUAUGAGAGGUAAACUCAUAUGAUCUGUGGAAUAAAAAUGGUGAUUUUUGAUAGAAUUUUCGAUGCAUCAUCAACACUAUCAAUCUUUUAUUUUCUUCAAAAUUUUUAGAAAUUUCGUUACAUAUAUAAUCAAUAUCGGCCGGUCAGAAUUUUUUAAUGAAGGAUCUGAGUCUGAACCUAUUUAUUAGGACCCAAAAGAUGCCGGAAUAUAUGCUCAUUUAGGCACCUCAAAAGGUAUUGAUUCAUCUAGAUAGCAAUCUACACGGCAGGACGAUGGCAAUAGAAGUCGAAAUAUGCUAAGGAUUGUAUUAUAUAACAACUCACAUUUGCCGAAUGAACUAGCCCUGAAAAUGGAUGGUGUUCAAGCUUGUUAUUCAUACCCCACCAUUACCGUUAUGGUAAAAAGGGAGGCGCUAACGAGUAGGAGGGUGUGAAGAUUUGUGACAAUGAUUAAGAUAUGGGUCCAAGUGAAACUGCUUCAACUACAGAUUUCGGUGAGAGUAACAAAUGUUCAAAUGAAAGCUUUUAGGACUGAAGCAGAGAAAGGUUCCAUAAGAAUAUGAACAGAGGUUAGACUUGGGUAAGUCAAUCCUAAGAGAUAGGGAAUCACCGUUUUAAAAUGAACGGUUUUUUGUUCCACCUUAUAGAAAGAUAGAAAGAGAAUCCAGUUAAUAUUCCGUGUCGAGUAUAUAAAUUUUUUUUACUACAGUUACAAAAUGAACUACGUGACACCGGUGGGGUUAGAAUUCUGGGAAAAGGUAUCUUUUCUUUUUUAAAAAUUCAUCACCGUGAAAUCAGAUUAACUGAAAAAAGCAUAGUAUAGUUGUAUAGUUAGUAAAGCAUUCCUCUUUCGGAAUAACCGUUUUGUUACAUUUCUAAAGUUCCUCAAAAACCCUGGAGAAAUAAAAUUUUCAUAUGUGGCAUUAUUAAUAAUUGUAGUAGGUGACUUGGAUUAAUAGCCUCAAAUU